GGGGAUAACACUUAGAAAUAGGUGCUAAUACCGCAUAAGCGCACAGGACCGCAUGGUCCGGUGUGAAAAACUGAGGUGGUGUAAGAUGGCUCCGCGUCUGAUUAGCUUGUUGGUAGGGUAACGGCCUACCAAGGCGACGAUCAGUAGCCGGCCUGAGAGGGUGAACGGCCACAUUGGGACUGAGACACGGCCCAAACUCCUACGGGAGGCAGCAGUGGGGAAUAUUGGACAAUGGGGGAAACCCUGAUCCAGCGACGCCGCGUGAGUGAAGAAGUAUUUCGGUAUGUAAAGCUCUAUCAGCAGGGAAGAAAAUGACGGUACCUGACUAAGAAGCCCCGGCUAACUACGUGCCAGCAGCCGCGGUAAUACGUAGGGGGCAAGCGUUAUCCGGAUUUACUGGGUGUAAAGGGAGCGUAGACGGCAUUGCAAGUCUGAUGUGAAAGAUUGGGGCUCAACCCCAGGCCUGCAUUGGAAACUGUAAAGCUGGAGUACAGGAGAGGUAAGCGGAAUUCCUAGUGUAGCGGUGAAAUGCGUAGAUAUUAGGAGGAACACCAGUGGCGAAGGCGGCUUACUGGACUGUAACUGACGUUGAGGCUCGAAAGCGUGGGGAGCAAACAGGAUUAGAUACCCUGGUAGUCCACGCCGUAAACGAUGAU
rnacentral:rRNA from 1 species